AUAUAAAAUUAAUCUGUGAAGUCAUUUUGUCCUACUUCCUUGCUUUACAGAUAAAGAAACUAAAGUCCAAUGAAGCUAAAUGGCUUGCCCCAAAUCUUACAGUGUCAAAUGUGGAAUCUAAACUCAGGAUAACUCCGGGAAAAGGAGGAGGGAGACAGGGAAACAUUUGGAAAUGAAGAAACAUGCAGACUGUGAAGCUGAACCACAAACAACAAAUCUGUCCAACUCCUUGAAAAUUAGAAAGGAUUGAAAAGAAAUUAAUAACUCUGAGAAAACAAGAAUCAUCCAGAAAAAAGGCCAAAAUCAACACUCAGGGGAGCUUUGAUUGUUAGCUCCCCUUUUCAAGUAAGUACUAUUUAAUUUUACUUUUUAUUUUUUUAAUCAUCACUAAACUUUUAUUA
rnacentral:lncRNA from 1 species